rnacentral:misc_RNA from 1 species
AAGUCGUAACAAGGUUUCCGUAGGUGAACCUGCGGAAGGAUCAUUAAGAGAGAAUAAAAUAACACACCGUGAACAAAACACAACUCAAGCAUUCAUUUAUAUUUGUAUAAAUAAAAACAACUUUUAGCAACGGAUCUCUAGGUUCUC